rnacentral:rRNA from 1 species
UACGAAGGAUGCGAGCGUUAUCCGGAUUUAUUGGGUUUAAAGGGUGCGUAGGCGGUCUUAUAAGUCAGUGGUGAAAUCUUGUCGCUUAACGACAAACGUGCCAUUGAUACUGUAGGACUUGAGUACAGAUGCCGUUGGCGGAAUGUGUCAUGUAGCGGUGAAAUGCAUAGAUAUGACACAGAACACCGAUUGCGAAGGCAGCUGACGAAACUGUAACUGACGAC